rnacentral:rRNA from 1 species
GCGAAAACUUUACAAUGCUGGCAACAGCGAUAAGGGAACCUCGAGUGCCAGGUUACAAAUCUGGCUGUCGAGAUGCCUAAAAAGCAUUUCAUAGCAAGGGCCGGGCAAGACCGGUUCCAGCCGCCGCGGUAACACCGGCGGCUCGAGUGGUAACCGUUAUUAUUGGGUCUAAAGGGUCUGUAGCCGGCCGGAUAAGUCUCUUGAGAAAUCUGGCAGCUUAACUGUCAGGCUUUCAGGAGGUACUGUCUGGCUCGAGGCCGGGAGAGGUGAGAGGUACUUCAGGGGUAGAGGUGAGAUCUUGUAAUCCUUGAAGGACCACCAGUGGCGAAGGCGUCUCACCAGAACGGACCUGACGGCAAGGGACGAAAGCUAGGGGCACGAACC